UGGGGAAUAUUGCGCAAUGGGCGAAAGCCUGACGCAGCGACGCCGCGUGGGUGAUGAAGGCCUUCGGGUCGUAAAGCCCUGUCGGGAGGGAAGAAAUCUCGGUAGCCCAAUACGUUACCGACUUGACGGUACCUCCUAAGGAAGCACCGGCUAACUCCGUGCCAGCAGCCGCGGUAAUACGGAGGGUGCGAGCGUUGUUCGGAAUUACUGGGCGUAAAGCGCGUGUAGGCGGUCUUUUAAGUUUGGUGUGAAAGCCCGGGGCUCACCCCCGGAAGUGCACCGGAUACUGGGAGACUUGAGUACCGGAGAGGAGGGUGGAAUUCCUGGUGUAGCGGUGAAAUGCGUAGAUAUCAGGAGGAACACCGGCGGCGAAGGCGGCCCUCUGGACGGAUACUGACGCUGAGACGCGAAAGCGUGGGGAGCAAACAGG
rnacentral:rRNA from 1 species